rnacentral:rRNA from 1 species
AGAGUUUGAUCAUGGCUCAGAAUCAACGCUGGCGGCGCGCUUAACACAUGCAAGUCGAACGAGAAAGCCGGGGCAACCUGGUGAGUACAGUGGCGUACGGGUGAGUAACACGUGGGUAAUCUAACUCUUAGUGAGGAAUAACCCUGGGAAACCGGGGCUAAUACCGCAUAAGCCCGAGAGGGGAAAGUCGCAAGACGCUGAGAGAGGAGCCCGCGGCCGAUUAGCUAGUUGGCAGGGUAAGAGCCUACCAAGGCAGAGAUCGGUAGCCGGCCUGAGAGGGCACACGGCCACACUGGCACUGAAACACGGGCCAGACUCCUACGGGAGGCAGCAGUGGGGAAUCUUGCACAAUGGGGGAAACCCUGAUGCAGCGACGCCGCGUGAGCGAUGAAGCCCUUCGGGGUGUAAAGCUCUUUCGGCAGGGACGAUAAUGACGGUACCUGCAGAAGCAGCUGCGGCUAACUACGUGCCAGCAGCCGCGGUAAUACGUAGGCAGCGAGCGUUGUUCGGAGUUACUGGGCGUAAAGGGUGUGUAGGCGGUUGCUUAAGUUUGGUGUGAAAUCUCCCGGCUCAACUGGGAGGGUGCGCCGAAUACUGAGCGGCUAGAGUGCGGGAGAGGAGAGUGGAAUUCCUGGUGUAGCGGUGAAAUGCGUAGAUAUCAGGAGGAACACCGGUGGUGUAGACGGCUCUCUGGACCGUAACUGACGCUGAGACACGAAAGCGUGGGUAGCAAACAGGAUUAGAUACCCUGGUAGUCCACGCCCUAAACGAUGCAUAUUUGGUGUGGGUCAUUCAGUUGAUCCGUGCCGGAGCUAACGCGUUAAAUAUGCCGCCUGGGGAGUACAGUCGCAAGGCUGAACUCAAAUGAAUUGACGG